ACGAACGCUGGCGGCGUGCCUAAUACAUGCAAGUCGAACGCUUCUUUCCUCCCGAGUGCUUGCACUCAAUUGGAAAGAGGAGUGGCGGACGGGUGAGUAACACGUGGGUAACCUACCCAUCAGAGGGGGAUAACACUUGGAAACAGGUGCUAAUACCGCAUAACAGUUUAUGCCGCAUGGCAUAAGAGUGAAAGGCGCUUUCGGGUGUCGUUGAUGGAUGGACCCGCGGUGCAUUAGCUAGUUGGUGAGGUAACGGCUCACCAAGGCCACGAUGCAUAGCCGACCUGAGAGGGUGAUCGGCCACACUGGGACUGAGACACGGCCCAGACUCCUACGGGAGGCAGCAGUAGGGAAUCUUCGGCAAUGGACGAAAGUCUGACCGAGCAACGCCGCGUGAGUGAAGAAGGUUUUCGGAUCGUAAAACUCUGUUGUUAGAGAAGAACAAGGACGUUAGUAACUGAACGUCCCCUGACGGUAUCUAACCAGAAAACCACGGCUAACUACGU
rnacentral:rRNA from 1 species